rnacentral:rRNA from 2 species
GAACGAACUCUGGUAUUGAUUGGUGCUUGCAUCAUGAUUUACAUUUGAGUGAGUGGCGAACUGGUGAGUAACACGUGGGAAACCUGCCCAGAAGCGGGGGAUAACACCUGGAAACAGAUGCUAAUACCGCAUAACAACUUGGACCGCAUGGUCCGAGUUUGAAAGAUGGCUUCGGCUAUCACUUUUGGAUGGUCCCGCGGCGUAUUAGCUAGAUGGUGGGGUAACGGCUCACCAUGGCAAUGAUACGUAGCCGACCUGAGAGGGUAAUCGGCCACAUUGGGACUGAGACACGGCCCAAACUCCUACGGGAGGCAGCAGUAGGGAAUCUUCCACAAUGGACGAAAGUCUGAUGGAGCAACGCCGCGUGAGUGAAGAAGGGUUUCGGCUCGUAAAACUCUGUUGUUAAAGAAGAACAUAUCUGAGAGUAACUGUUCAGGUAUUGACGGUAUUUAACCAGAAAGCCACGGCUAACUACGUGCCAGCAGCCGCGGUAAUACGUAGGUGGCAAGCGUUGUCCGGAUUUAUUGGGCGUAAAGCGAGCGCAGGCGGUUUUUUAAGUCUGAUGUGAAAGCCUUCGGCUCAACCGAAGAAGUGCAUCGGAAACUGGGAAACUUGAGUGCAGAAGAGGACAGUGGAACUCCAUGUGUAGCGGUGAAAUGCGUAGAUAUAUGGAAGAACACCAGUGGCGAAGGCGGCUGUCUGGUCUGUAACUGACGCUGAGGCUCGAAAGUAUGGGUAGCAAACAGGAUUAGAUACCCUGGUAGUCCAUACCGUAAACGAUGAAUGCUAAGUGUUGGAGGGUUUCCGCCCUUCAGUGCUGCAGCUAACGCAUUAAGCAUUCCGCCUGGGGAGUACGGCCGCAAGGCUGAAACUCAAAGGAAUUGACGGGGGCCCGCACAAGCGGUGGAGCAUGUGGUUUAAUUCGAAGCUACGCGAAGAACCUUACCAGGUCUUGACAUACUAUGCAAAUCUAAGAGAUUAGACGUUCCCUUCGGGGACAUGGAUACAGGUGGUGCAUGGUUGUCGUCAGCUCGUGUCGUGAGAUGUUGGGUUAAGUCCCGCAACGAGCGCAACCCUUAUUAUCAGUUGCCAGCAUUAAGUUGGGCACUCUGGUGAGACUGCCGGUGACAAACCGGAGGAAGGUGGGGAUGACGUCAAAUCAUCAUGCCCCUUAUGACCUGGGCUACACACGUGCUACAAUGGAUGGUACAACGAGUUGCGAACUCGCGAGAGUAAGCUAAUCUCUUAAAGCCAUUCUCAGUUCGGAUUGUAGGCUGCAACUCGCCUACAUGAAGUCGGAAUCGCUAGUAAUCGCGGAUCAGCAUGCCGCGGUGAAUACGUUCCCGGGCCUUGUACACACCGCCCGUCACACCAUGAGAGUUUGUAACACCCAAAGUCGGUGGGGUAACCUUUUAGGAAC